rnacentral:rRNA from 1 species
AGCAGCCGCGGUAAUUCCAGCUCCAAUAGCGUAUAUUAAAGUUGCUGCAGUUAAAAAGCUCGUAGUUGAAUUUCGGGACCAUCAUGUCGGUCGUGCCUCGGUACGUACUGGCAUUGUUGGUUUCUCCCUUCUGACGAACCAUGAUGUCAUUUAUUUGGUGUUGUGGGGAAUCAGGACUGUUACUUUGAAAAAAUUAGAGUGUUUAAAGCAGGCUCACGCUUGGAUACAUUAGCAUGGAAUAAUGAAAUAGGACGUUUGAUUCUAUUUUGUUGGUUUCUAGGAUCGACGUAAUGAUUAAUAGGGAUAGUUGGGGGCAUUAGUAUUCAAUUGUCAGAGGUGAAAUUCUUGGAUUUAUUGAAGACUAACUACUGCGAAAGCAUUUGCCAAGGAUGUUUUCAUUAAUCAAGAACGAAAGUUAGGGGAUCGAAGACGAUCAGAUACCGUCGUAGUCUUAACCAUAAACUAUGCCGACUAGGGAUCGGAUGAUGUUAAUUUUUUAAUGACUCA